rnacentral:rRNA from 1 species
AUACGGAGGGUGCGAGCGUUGUUCGGAAUUAUUGGGCGUAAAGCGCGUGUAGGCGGUUUGUUAAGUCUGAUGUGAAAGCCCCGGGCUCAACCUGGGAAGUGCAUUGGAUACUGGCAGACUUGAAUACGGGAGAGGGCAGUGGAAUUCCUGGUGUAGGAGUGAAAUCCGUAGAUAUCAGGAGGAACACCGAUGGCGAAGGCAGCCCCCUGGGCCUGUACUGACGCUCAUGCACGAAAGCGUGGGGAGC